UCUCCGUAGGUGAACCUGCGGAGGGAUCAUUAACACGUUCCAAACCCCAACUACUAUCAACCCAACUGUGAAGCUUUGUAUCUGCCGACAGUCGCCUCGAGCUCGACGGUGCGAGCUGAGAUCCAGGAUGAAGGUGAAAGGCAAGAGAGAGCGAUCUCUCUCCGUUUCAUACGGAUCGAGCACGCUAUACAUGGUGGCCUUCUCUCUGUCUCUCUCUGGGCAGAGGAGCUGCCAGCCGUCCUCGGGGAUGACUUGGCCCAACCUAUAUACGAACAGCAGCGAGUCAUCGGCUGCUGCGUGUAUAUCCACACGACACUUUUUCUGUUCGAACCCAGGUGCGGUUAUAUAUAUCUGCUCUUGGGUCACGAUCGGCAAAAAUGACUUAAACCCUUUUCAUGACCUCCACCUCUUGUGUGGUGGUCUUCUCUCACUGACCUCUAUCUCUGUAUAUGUCAGUGCUGUCAGAUAUGAAACUGAGAACAACUCUUAGCAAUGGAUAUCUUGGUUCUC
rnacentral:misc_RNA from 1 species